rnacentral:rRNA from 1 species
GUGCAGCCGCCGCGGUAAUACGGAGGGGGUUAGCGUUGUUCGGAAUUACUGGGCGUAAAGCGCGCGUAGGCGGACUAUUAAGUCAGGGGUGAAAUCCCGGGGCUCAACCCCGGAACUGCCCUUGAUACUGGUAGUCUUGAGUUCGAGAGAGGUGAGUGGAAUUCCGAGUGUAGAGGUGAAAUUCGUAGAUAUUCGGAGGAACACCAGUGGCGAAGGCGGCUCACUGGCUGGGCUGUUUCUGACGCUGAGGUACGAAAGCCAGGGGAGCGAACGGGAUUAGAUA